GUCUAUGCUAUACCUCCCUGAAUGCAUCUAUCUCCUCAGAUCUUGGAAGCUAAGUGGGGUUGGUCCUGGUUAGUACUUAGAAGGGAGAUGACUUGGGGCUACUGGGUGCUAUAGGCU
rnacentral:rRNA from 1 species